rnacentral:rRNA from 1 species
ACGAACCCUUCGGGGUGAGUGGCGCACGGGUGCGUAACACGUGGGAAUAUACACAUAGGUAAGGAAUAACACAGAGAAAUUUGUGCUAAUACCUUAUAAUAACUCCGGUUCAAAGAUUUAUCGCCUAUGGAUUAGCCCGCGCUAGAUUAGUUUGUUGGUGAGGUAAAAGCUCACCAAGACUACGAUCUAUAGCUGGUCUUAGAGGAUGAUCAGCCACACUGGAACUGAGACACGGUCCAGACUCCUACGGGAGGCAGCAGUGAGGAAUAUUGCGCAAUGGAGGAAACUCUGACGCAGCCAUGCCGCGUGAAUGAAGAAGGCCCUAGGGUUGUAAAAUUCUUUCAGAUGCGAAGAUAAUGACGGUAACAUCAGAAGAAGCUCCGGCUAAAUUCGUGCCAGCAGCCGCGGUAAUACGAAUGGAGCGAGCGUUGUUCGGAAUCAUUGGGCGUAAAGCGCACGCAGGCGGUUUGUUAAGCUAGAUGUGAAAGCCCCGGGCUCAACCUGGGAAUAGCAUUUAGAACUGGCAGACUAGAGUCUUGGAGAGGGGAGUGGAAUUUCUGGUGUAGCGGUGAAAUGCGUAGAUAUCAGAAGGAACAUCAGUGGCGAAGGCGACUCCCUG